GUGAGUAACGCGUGAGAAUCUGGCUCCAGGUCGGGGAUAACAGUUGGAAACGACUGCUAAUACCGGAUGUGCCGAGAGGUGAAAGAUUUAUUGCCUGGAGAUGAGCUCGCGUCUGAUUAGCUAGUUGGUGGUGUAAGGGACCACCAAGGCGUCGAUCAGUAGCUGGUCUGAGAGGAUGAUCAGCCACACUGGGACUGAGACACGGCCCAGACUCCUACGGGAGGCAGCAGUGGGGAAUUUUCCGCAAUGGGCGAAAGCCUGACGGAGCAAUACCGCGUGAGGGAGGAAGGCUCUUGGGUCGUAAACCUCUUUUCUCAAGGAAGAAGAAAGUGACGGUACUUGAGGAAUAAGCAUCGGCUAACUCCGUGCCAGCAGCCGCGGUAAUACGGAGGAUGCAAGCGUUAUCCGGAAUGAUUGGGCGUAAAGGGUCUGCAGGUGGAACUGAAAGUCUGCUGUUAAAGAGUUUGGCUUAACCAAAUAAAAGCGGUGGAAACUACAGAACUAGAGUGCGGUAGGGGCAAAAGGAAUUCCUGGUGUAGCGGUGAAAUGCGUAGAUAUCAGGAAGAACACCGGUGGCGAAAGCGUUUUGCUAGACCAUAACUGACACUGAGGGACGAAAGCUAGGGGAGCGAAUGGGAUUAGAUACCCCAGUAGUCCUAGCCGUAAACGAUGGAUACUAGGCGUGGCUUGUAUCGACCCGAGCCGUGCCGGAGCUAACGCGUUAAGUAUCCCGCCUGGGGAGUACGCACGCAAGUGUGAAACUCAAAGGAAUUGACGGGGGCCCGCACAAGCGGUGGAGUAUUGGUUUAAUUCGAUGCAACGCGAAGAACCUUACCAAGACUUGACAUCCUGCGAAUCCUGGUGAAAGCUGGGAGUGCCUUAGGGAGCGCAGAGACAGGUGGUGCAUGGCUGUCGUCAGCUCGUGUCGUGAGAUGUUGGGUUAAGUCCCGCAACGAGCGCAACCCUCGUUUUUAGUUGCCAGCAUUAAGUUGGGCACUCUAGAGAGACUGCCGGUGACAAACCGGAGGAAGGUGAGGAUGACGUCAAGUCAGCAUGCCCCUUACGUCUUGGGCUACACACGUACUACAAUGCUACGGACAGAGGGCAGCAAGCCAGGGAUGGCAAGCGAAUCCAGAAACCGUAGCUCAGUUCAGAUCGAAGGCUGCAACUCGCCUUCGUGAAGGAGGAAUCGCUAGUAAUUGCAGGUCAGCAUACUGCAGUGAAUUCGUUCCCGGGCCUUGUACACACCGCCCGUCACACCAUGG
rnacentral:rRNA from 1 species